rnacentral:rRNA from 1 species
GCCAUCUGUUGCCAGCAAGUGAAGUUGGGGACGUCAGGUGGAACUGCCGGUGACAAACCGGAGGAAGGUGGGGACGACGUCAAGUCAUCAUGGCCCUUAUGUCCUGGGCUACACACGUGCUACAAUGGCCGGUACAGAGCGCAGCGAAGCCGCGAGGCAAAGCGAAUCGCAAAAAGCCGGUCUCAGUACGGAUUGGAGUCUGAAACCCGACUCCAUGAAGUUGGAAUCGCUAGUAAUCGCGCAUCAGCAUGGCGCGGUGAAUACGUUCCCGGGCCUU